rnacentral:rRNA from 1 species
UACGUAGGGUGCGAGCGUUAAUCGGAAUUACUGGGCGUAAAGCGUGCGCAGGCGGUUAUGUAAGGCAGAUGUGAAAUGCCCGGGCUUAACCUGGGAACUGCAUUUGUGACUGCAUGGCUAGAGUGUGUCAGAGGGGGGUAGAAUUCCACGUGUAGCAGUGAAAUGCGUAGAUAUGUGGAGGAAUACCGAUGGCGAAGGCAGCCCCCUGGGAUAACACUGACGCUCAUGCACGAAAGCGUGGGGAGCAAACAGG